CCGUUGGGGGCCACGUCUACAUCAGAAGGGAGUCCUCAGAACCACAUGGUAAGUGAAAGGGUAGAAUGAAUGGUAAGGUUAGGGGAGGGGAGGCAGUUGGUGGUUAGCCUUAGGUUAUAUGUUAGGUGUUAGUGAUUAUGCUUAUGGUUACAGAUUAGAGGUUAGGUGAGGCAUAAGGGUAAUGGUCAGUAGUUAAGAGUUAGGAUGGUGGUUAGGGUAAGGGACAGGAUUUACUGUUAGGGUUAGGGUUUAGGCUCUAGGGAUUAGGGCAAGAGGUUAGGAGUUGGGGUUAGGGUUAUGGUUAGAGUUAGGGUUGGGCUUAGGUUUGCAGUUAGGGUUAGGGGUUAGGGUGUGAGUUAGGGUUAGGGUUUAGGGUGAGGGGUUAGGCUUAUAGUUAGGGCUAGGUUUAGAAUUAGGGCGAGGGUUAGGGUUAGGAUAGGGGUUAGGACUAGGUUUCGGGUUAUUGUUUGGUUAGGGGUUAGGGUUAGGGACAGGUCAGGGUCAGGGUCAGGGUACGGUUUUGGAAGAGGGUAAGAGAUACAUUUAGGGAGUGGGUUAGGGGUUAGUUUUAGGGUAAGGGUUAGGGUACAGUUUGGGGUAUGAGAUAGGAUUAGUAUUAGAGGGUUAGGGUUAGGGUACAGGUUAAGGUCAGGAAUAGGAUUUGAGUACAUUAAGUUAAGUUUAGGUUUAGAGGUUAGGGUUAGGGUUAGAUUUAAGGUAGCGCUCAGGGUUAAGGGUUUAGAAUAGGUUUAGGAGUUAGGGUGAGGUUUGGCAGGAAGGUUCAGUGAAUGUGUUUCGGUCUUGGGGUUUGUGUUUGGUUUUCGAUUAGUGAUAGGUCUUGUUUAAGGUUUAGGUUAACAUUAGGCUUAAGUGUAGUGUUAGGGUUAUAUCUGUGUAUGGUUAGAGUUUGGGUCUUGGCAUGUGCCUGCACUGGGACUCCUAGUAUCUUGGGCAGUUUAGUUUUAUGCACUCUAUGUUUUGGGUUCAAAGAUAGCCUGACUCCACCAAGUCAGUGGCCUCCCCAGAGAAUCAAAAUCCAGGCUUUUACUUGGGUGAGAAUAGGCAUGGCAGUCUUCUCCCGAGCUGAGGUAAGGAGGGGUUUUGUGGCUCUAAAUACUCUUUAUUUGGAUUUUCAGUUGCCUUUCUGA
rnacentral:lncRNA from 1 species